CCGGCGUCCCAGAAAAGAAGGAGCCACCAGACAGGGACUCUAGACUCGUAAAAAAAAUAUAUCUCAUUUCUAAAAACCCUGAGCACCUACUAAGUGUCUAGCAGGCCCGAGGCAAGCGCUACAAAGAUAGGACUAAUCCCCACACAGCCCCUGCCCUCCGAGAGCUCUGGUUUAGCUAGGAAGAUAGACAAACAUUCAAGUGACUCAUCCCGGGGAUGAUGAGUUAAAGGCAUGGAAGCAAACUCAAAUAGACGCGCAUUGUAUUUCCACUGUUGUAAGCAAGUGGGCCACACGUUAGUUUCUGGAGACCGGCCAUGGGAUCGAGAGUCGCAUUCACUGCGUGGCACAUCAGAGGAAGACUGCAUCUGACAAGAUUUGCUCACAUACCUGCUCCUAAGACCCCAUCCUUUACUGUAAUAUCUUGUCAUCUUCCUGGGAAAACAGAGUAACAAGAAUUAAAAAUACCACCACAUUCCC